UACAGAGGUCUCAAGCGUUUGUUCGGAUUCAUUGGGCGUAAAGGGUGUGUAGGUGGCGCGCUAAGUCGGGUGUGAAAUUUCGGGAGCUUAACUCCGAAACUGCAUUCGAUACUGGCGUGCUUGAGGACUGGAGAGGAGACUGGAAUUUACGGUGUAGCAGUGAAAUGCGUAGAUAUCGAUAAGGAAGACCAGUGGCGAAGGCGG
rnacentral:rRNA from 1 species